UGACUUCCACGGUAUAAAUACUCACCAUGGCCAAUAUCAAGCCCCAGUGUGAUGUCAUGGAGUUCUGACCUGAGAGGAGGUGGGCACAAUCAGUUUCUCUGAGCCUGUCAACCUGGCUCAGUCACACCCCCACCCCAGGGACCAUGGGUAAAAUGUUGAUGUGGACUUCUGGGAUCAAACAAAGCUCUUGGUCUCCUGGAUCAACACUCAGAGACAAAGAUUCCUUAGCCUUUAGAGAUGAAGUCAGAGUGAAUCGGGCCAGAGGGGCAAUCUGCUAGGCAGGCAUGGGAUGUGCUUUCUAUAGCACCAGGAGGUCCAUAAGAAUUAAAAGGUAUAUUGGCACUUAAUCAAUGGGAGGUGCUUAAUAUGUUAAUAAUUAACUACUAUUAAAUUAUUAUUAUGAGGUCAUUAUAACAGAAUUUUGCAUUUGCAUGAAACCUUCCCAUCAACUACAAUUGCAAAGCUUUAGGAUAUUCCAGCCUUCAGGAUUAGCUAGAAAGGAUCUACCCUCACAGAACAGUUGACAAAACUGAGGCGCAGAGAAGUGACUCGGCUUAAGUAUGUGCAGCAGAGCCAGCCUGGAACCCAGGCCAUCUGAACCAAGGCUUGGGAACUGCAAAGCCAACUUUCCGGGAGUGAGUUUGAUCCAGGAAGGGAGCCAGUCGAUGUAUGAGAUUGGAAGAAUCAAGAGAACAGAGAAGCAGCUACAUCCGCCUACUAGAGAGCCUGCUGUGGCAUCAUCCUGGGAUCAUUUCCCCUGA
rnacentral:lncRNA from 12 species